AUUGCUUGAAUCCGGAAGGAAGUGGAGGUUUCAGCUCAGGAAGGAAGGAAGGAAGGAAGGAAAAAGAAAUAGACUUUGCAAGUUAGUAGUUCUGUGACUGAAUUCCAGUGUAUGUAAGACCCUCAGGCAUUCCUCCGGUCCAAACCAAAACCUGUCUGCGAAGGAUGAUUUCACAGGAGCAAACCAAGACUUUAUUUCCAGUUUUAUAACCCGCCUUGGGCUCUUGGACUAGGAAGCUAACAGACACAGAAAGCUGAGAUUGUGCAAAGACAGGAUCAACCAUCCACUCCGAGCUCUGGGAGCACCUAAAAUGCGAUUUGAUGUCACCACCACCGUCCACAGUUCAGUCACAGUCCAUGUGUGGAACUUAACCUGCACAGACGCCAUGCUUGGGACCCUGUCAUCAGUCCUGGGGACAGGCUCCAUCUUAGAGGGAAUCCACCUGGCUCCCGCUCCUGAGCGAUCUUCCAGCUAUCCCGUCUCCAGACUCCCACCGCACCUGCUCCUGGGUUGCAGCCACACCCAACAACAGGUGUUGCCUCUUUCUUCAAAGAGAAAACAGCAGCCCUGUCAUGGGAACUCCCUUAACUCCCUCCCUGCCUGCACCAGGCCUGAAGAAACACGCCCAUCCUUUUCUCCUCCCUUCAGUAAGUAGCAUUGGAAGAGGUGUUCUCGCCAGUGAAAUAUCUCCUCACCUGCGAUGCGGGUUCUGUCCCCCACAAUCUCCUGGGGAACUUUUUCCCACUGAUUAGCUACUGCCUCUCCGGGACAUCCCACCUCUCUCUACUGGAAUCUUCCUUU